CUCAGAGGUCCCACUGCAGCGGUCUGAGUGUGUGCAGGGGGCAAUUUCUGGGGGUUGCGUUCAUUUUCUCAAACACUUCUGACCCAAUAAGCCUCCCACCAGCACCUCCUGCUCAGCGCCCACACCCGGGGUUCGUGGCCGUGGAGAGCGUUGCUCCUCUCACAGCUCAGGUCGUCAUGGUCCCUCUUCUGAGCCCGACCCGUGUAUCCCGCUGCCGGAUAGCUACUCUGUGGAGUCCACAAGAUCUUGAAUAGCAGAAGAACUCCAAGAAACUACGUUCCCUUCCAAAAAUAUUCAAGCUUGUCCAAGUCAACCCCAAGAUUCGUGCUGGUCCUACUGGGACUAGAUGGGCCCAAUAGCUGUGUUUGACCUUGGUGUGACACAAGUCCACAUCUCCUGAGAGCCUCCUGGAAGGACAACAUCUGGACUAAAACCCAUGGAGAGGCACAAAGAUUCACGACAUGGAGACGCCGGGUCCCAGCACCGUCACUGGGAUGUCCAAGUUUAUCUGUGUUGUGUUACCCUAAAUGUUCAGUUAAUCAUCAAUAAACCCACACCCUUCAUUUUUAGAUGAUCAGAAAACAUGUCAAGUGCUCAAGUACUAAAGCAUGAACAUUGCAGCUAAAUUUAGCACAAAAGACAGAGUUGUAGGAGAAAGAUUUUCACACAAACGUAUUGCCAUAGCCAGUGUUCAGAAGGCCCCUUCCUGUCAUGGUUAGUUGACUCACUUGUGUGACCCCAUUUCCUUGGGCAAAUUGCUGAGCUGAGCCUCCAUGGACAGACACAGCCAUCGCAGAUCCCAUCAUCGGGCUCCACCAGAAAGAAAAGGAGGGAGGUCAGCACCAGUAGUAAUGGUGAUAACAACAGUGUUUUUGGAUAACUCAGCCUCCAGGGUAAGUCUGACUCCUCAGGAGAUGGGCAGGGGUGGAUGGUCCCAGCAGAGAUCCGAACGAGCCAAGGUGGAGGCACGUGAGAGGGGAUGUGCGGGCUCCUGAUGUGGCAGACGUCUGGAGCAGGGCCAGGGGAGAGUACGGCAAGAGAGGCAGCAGUCACGUCUCGGGUGCCACGGUGAGGGGCCUGUAAUGCCACACAAAGAACUCUUGGAUUCCCAAGAAGCCCGGGAGGACAGUGUUUAUUGUGAAAUCUCAGCAGUCACGUCUCGGGUGCCACGGUGAGGGGCCUGUAAUGUCACACAAAGAACUCUUGGAUUCCCAAGAAGCCCAGGAGGACAGUGUUUAUUGUGAAAUCCUACAUGUGACUUAGUCGGUGUCUAUACAUAGGGAAUGUUUACUGAACUGUUGUAGGUGAAGGACUCUCAGACAUUCGGCUUGGUUACCACGUCCUCCAGAAAGUCUCAGAUAAACCCCCAACUGGUCCAGCCUGUCAGUGUCCUCCAUCUCUGACCUUGUUCUACUUCCUUAUCUGCCUUUACUGCAGUCCUUGGAAGCAGCGGCAAUGUCUGUAUUAUUUUUAUGUUCCCAGCACAUGUAACACCUUCUACCAUGCAGUGGGGCAUCAGCACAUGCUUCUCAAUGACUUGAAGGUGGACUCCAAAUAUGAGUGCCUUCCACUCCUCCCUCAAGCUCAGUAAGAUUCAGAAGUCUUCCCCUAUUUGUUCUUUAAUUCCACAGAGAUUAGAGGCAGCCUCAGAGAUCCUUGGCUUUGGUGUAAACUGGCCUCACUGCUGCCUACUAGCUGAGGGUGGAGCCACCUGGCAGUGCCCAGGAGACACCUAGUUCAGAGUAGGUGGAGGUGGAGGAGUGAGAAAGGCCAGGGAAGACCCACGGUCUGCACAGAUGACACUCUGUGAGGCUGCCAUGAAAUGAAGGUGAUCCCUGGUUUUCUGACUGCUGGACUCUGGCUCCAUUCCUGAAAAUCCUGUCCUGGAUUGGUCAGGGAGGCCACCGAGUUGCUAGCGAGAGACCCCAAGGAAGAAAGAAGACCAGCGUCCAUUCAUAGCUUGCUUGAGCUAUCCAGGUAAGAAGACUGGAGGGGUCAUGGUUGAUGGGCCAAGGUGAGGAGUAAGGAGAGUACCGACAGCAACGGGCUCUGCCAGGCCCUUGCUGAGUGCUUUCCCUGCAUUAUGCCCAUCAGCUCUUCCCAUGAUCCUGCGGUACAGCUAGACACCCUUCUUAUUUAGAAGAUGGAGAAACUGUUAAGGAAGACUUGUUUUCAUACAAUUAAGCAUUGGAUCAUCUGGAACUCGAGUCCAGGUCCAUGUGAUUAUAAAGUCUGAAUUUCUCUACAAUACCAAGCUUUCUUGCAGGGAUGAUUGAAAGGAAAACCUGGAUGGGGGACUAAAAAUCUGGCUCUACAUUUCCAAGUAGCUGAGUGACUCUGGCUGAGCGGUGAGCACAUCUUGAUGUCUUUGGUGUGCCCAUGACUCUGUGCACAUUUUAACGUUCAGAACCCUGCUACUUCCUCAAGGCCCAAUUUGAAUAUCUGGUCCUACUGAGGUUUUCCAGUCCUUUCUUCUGAAAGUGACUGCUCUUUCCUCUGACCUCUACCCUGCUGUGUUGUUUGUUGUUUACAUGACUACCUCUUAAACUGACAUGCAGAAUUGAAAUCUAGUUUAGAGGUUAGGCAAAAAGGAGCUUCAUGAAGUGGAUUCAAAUACAUGCAACUUUUUUCACAGGCAUCAAAUUCCAGAGGAAUGAUCAUUAGCCUCAGAAUCAAUAGACUCAGAUCUGAUUAUUGGAUUACUUGCCAGCUAUAUGAACUUUGUCAAGCUUCCUCACCUCCCUGAACUUUAUUAUCUCGCCUGCAAAAUGCAGCCAGCAAUGCUUAAUUCACUGGAUUAAUUAAAAUGUGCAUAUCAUAAUGAUAAUAUCUAUGCUCAGUGGCACAUUAUUUAAUAACAAUUAUAUUUAUUGUUUGCCAUGUGAUUUAAAUUGGGUACAUGGCAACCAUAUGAAAUAAAUACUAAAUAACCCCCAGUUUAGAUAUAAGGAAACACAGGAUCUAUGAGGACAUGUAAGUUGCUCAAAAUUUCACAGCUAUGAAGAAUGUUCUAAUAUUCAGAGUCAACUCUAUGUGUGCUUAUUUAAUGGUGCAGGCAUCAUUUAAUUUGUAAUGAAGAUGAUUACAUCCAUUCUUCCCCUGAAGAGGCUCCUGGCAGUCAGACAGGUUCAGCAUUUAGCUGAUAAGGAAGCUUCAGGUCGGAAGCCCCUGUGGUAGACCAAGGCUACAUCCCCACAGUCCUGCUUUGCAUUCAUAGUGCAUGGGGCACUGAGGAUGCCAGGGGAAGUUUACAGGGGGAAACCACAAUACCAAACUGACCUUGGGUAUUGAUUCUGGUUAGAAGAGUUACAAGAGUGACUUUUGAAAUUGACUUUAUUUGUUCUUACAUCACAGAGCAUAAAAGUUCCCUCUUGGUGUGCAACAUGGCAAGCUGAGCAGUCUGAGCCAUGAGAGUCCUCGUUAACAAAGGAGACGGAGCAGAGUCGAAGAGAAGCUUUGAAAACAGAAGGAGAAAUGGGGAGUAAGCAGAGCAUGGAAGAGCCCUGGUAGGGGAGAGGAAGUCUCAGGACACUGAGGGGUUCCUUAGAAUCAAGGAGAGUCUAGCCAGCCAAGGCUAAAGCUGCUUGGCCGAGGUCAUAUUCAGGACCAAGGACAGGCCCAGGGAGCCUGCCGGGUGCGGCUGCUGGGUGGUUUGGGGACCAAGACUCACGAACAAGCUCGAGAUGGAGCUUCAGAACCAGGCCAGCUCUCUCCUAAGCCAGGGCGCCUGGGGUGAUUUCAGGACCAAGGACAGCGACACGAAGCGAGGGUCUCCUGGAAGCCGUUUUAGCAACAAGGACAGCUCAGGGUAGGAGGCUCUACCGCAGAUGAGAAUCAGGACGUGGGACAGCUCCAUUCUUUAUCAGAUCAAAGGAAACAGACUUAUUUGAGCAUUAAGCAUUUUCUGUGAAGUUAGAUCCAUAAUCAUGCGCGUUGAGAUCCAGAGAAAUAAAGUAGGAGAUGAAUAUGACUCCAUGAUGUAAAUCUUCAUCUGUAACCAAACUGGAGUCCCAGCUCCAUAA
rnacentral:lncRNA from 1 species